rnacentral:rRNA from 1 species
UGACAUUAGACUACCCCGUAGUCCAGCCGUAAACAAUGUGCGUUAGGUGUGUCGGUAACCACGCGUUACUGAUGCGCCGAAGAGAAAUCGUGAAACGCACCACCUGGGAAGUACGGUCGCAAGGCUGAAACUUAAAGGAAUUGGCGGGGAGCACCACAACAGGUGGAGCCUGCGGUUUAAUUGGAUUCAACGCCGGACAUCUCACCGGAUAAGACAGCUGAAUGAUUGUCAAUCUGAAGGUUUUACAUGACUAGCUG